rnacentral:rRNA from 1 species
UGUGUAGGCGGUUGCUUAAGUUUGGUGUGAAAUCUCCCGGCUCAACUGGGAGGGUGCGCCGAAUACUGAGUGACUCGAGUACGGGAGAGGAAAGUGGAAUUCCUGGUGUAGCGGUGAAAUGCGUAGAUAUCAGGAGGAACACCGGUGGUGUAGACGGCUUUCUGGACCGUAACUGACGCUGAGACACGAAAGCGUGGGUAGCAAACAGGAUUAGAUACCCUGGUAGUCCACGCCCUAAACGAUGCACAUUUGGUGUGGGUCAUUCAGCUGAUCCGUGCCGGAGCUAACGCGUUAAAUGUGCCGCCUGGGGAGUACAGUCGCAAGGCUGAA